rnacentral:rRNA from 1 species
UACGUAGGUGGCAAGCGUUGUCCGGAUUUAUUGGGUUUAAAGGGUGCGUAGGUGGUCUAUUAAGUCAGUGGUGAAAUAUCCCGGCUUAACUGGGAGGGUGGCAUUGAUACUGAUGGACUUGAGUGGAGUUGAGGUAGGCGGAAUUGACGGUGUAGCGGUGAAAUGCUUAGAGAUUACAUGGAAUACCAAUUGCGAAGGCAGGUUACUACGAGUACAUUGACGCUGAUGGACGAAAGCGUGGGGAGCGAACAGG